GCUCAUAUCGCGUUUAAACACCGGCUCCCGUACGUUCACCAAAGUUAAGCCACGUCGAGCCUGGUCAGUACCUAGAUGAGUGACCGCUCGAUAAUACCGGGUGUUGCU